rnacentral:rRNA from 1 species
AGUGAACGCUGGCGGUAGGCCUAACACAUGCAAGUCGAACGGCAGCACAGUAAGAGCUUGCUCUUACGGGUGGCGAGUGGCGGACGGGUGAGGAAUACAUCGGAAUCUACUUUUUCGUGGGGGAUAACGUAGGGAAACUUACGCUAAUACCGCAUACGACCUACGGGUGAAAGCAGGGGAUCUUCGGACCUUGCGCGAUUGAAUGAGCCGAUGUCGGAUUAGCUAGUUGGCGGGGUAAAGGCCCACCAAGGCGACGAUCCGUAGCUGGUCUGAGAGGAUGAUCAGCCACACUGGAACUGAGACACGGUCCAGACUCCUACGGGAGGCAGCAGUGGGGAAUAUUGGACAAUGGGCGCAAGCCUGGUCCAGCCAUACCGCGUGGGUGAAGAAGGCCUUCGGGUUGUAAAGCCCUUUUGUUGGGAAAGAAAGGCAGCAGGUUAAUACCCCGCUGUUCUGACGGUACCCAAAGAAUAAGCACCGGCCAACUUCGUG